GGAUGAAUAUACCGUAAUUGGGAGCGGGCCUGACUGUAAAUCAGGUGCCUUCGGGUUCUGGUGGUUCGAGUCCACCUUAAUCCA
rnacentral:tRNA from 2 species